GUGCUUUGAAAUUGCAAAGGCUUAUUGUGCAGAUGGCGGUGAGGAGGAGAUCUCGGCUACCCCACAUGAAAGACCAGCGCAGUGGAGGAUACCUCUCUCCACACCCACACACACGCUCCUGCUCAGCCUGCAGUUGCUCAUUCUCUAGAGAAUCCUCCCCAGGGAGUUCACACCUGCCUUUGCAAGAUGCUUCCAUGCACGGAUUGAUGGCCCCAGGACUCCUGGAAGAUGAUAUGUGGCAAUAACUGUCACCCAGAGCCACCAAAGCACUUCACCUGCCCUGCCUUGUAGCCUGCCCUGCCUUGUAGCGCUUCUGCCGGGUGUCACUGCUAUUUGUAUGUUAAUUAGACUGGGGGUUCCCCGAGAGUGGCUUGUAUCUCCGUGACCCCUGUGUCUCUGCCGGGGCCCUGCACAGUAUCUGCUACACCGGAGCAGCAAAAUAAAUGGGGCUGGUUGAAGGAGUAAGCUAAGGCCAGCUAACUGCUCUCAAGCGCCUUUAAUUAUGGUCUUUGGUGCCCUCUUACCGCUUCAUCUUAUUUAUCACUCUUUUCCUGAGACCUUCUAAUAUAGAAUGCAGACACGAACAUGUGUGCAUGCACACACACGCACGCUGGCUUAAUAUAUGCACAGUGGAAGCUGAAUACAACAUCUCGCUGGGACACUUCCACACUUGUUAAGACAGUUCCCAAAACACAUUAAAAAAUGAUGGAUUGUGCCGUCCCGGCUCCUUGUUCAUUUUAGCACGAUAGAAUUUCUUGAUAGUGUCUGAUUUCAGAGCACACCUGUAGACCUAGUGACAGCCUGCGCUCCUGGGUGGGUUUGGAAAAGCGCUUAUUUGUUCUGAAGCUAAAAUUAAACUGCAAGUUUUUACAUGUUGUUUAGCGGCAGCAGCUGAUGCAAAUCUUUGUCAACACGGAACUUUUCACACCUCAG
ensembl:lncRNA novel transcript